UUUCAAGGUAGCAAUAUUUUGGAGUCGGAGCGGCGCAAGGGUGCGUAACACGUGGGUAAUCUGCCGUGAAGUUGGGGAUAACUUGCUGAAAGGCGAGCUAAUACCGGAUGUGAAAAUCGAAUGGCAUCACUUGAUUUUCAAAGUUGGGGACCGUAAGGCCUGACGCUUCAUGAUGAGCCCGCGGCCUAUCAGCUAGUUGGUGAGGUAACGGCUCACCAAGGCUAAGACGGGUAGCUGGUCUGAGAGGACGACCAGCCACACUGGAACUGAGACACGGUCCAGACACCUACGGGUGGCAGCAGUCGAGAAUUUUUCACAAUGGGCGCAAGCCUGAUGGAGCGACGCCGCGUGGGGGAUGAAUGGCUUCGGCCCGUAAACCCCUGUCAUUUGCGAACAAACCUCGUUAUUUAAAAGAUGACGAGCUGAUUGUAGCGAAAGAGGAAGGGACGGCUAACUCUGUGCCAGCAGCCGCGGUAAUACAGAGGUCCCAAGCGUUGUUCGGAUUCACUGGGCGUAAAGGGUGCGUAGGUGGCGGGGNAAGUCGGAUGUGAAAUCUCCGAGCUCAACUCGGAAAUGGCAUUGGAAACUACCUUGCUCGAGGGUUGGAGGGGGGACUGGAAUACUUGGUGUAGCAGUGAAAUGCGUAGAUAUCAAGUGGAACACCAGUGGCGAAGGCGAGUCCCUGGACAACUCCUGACACUGAGGCACGAAAGCCAGGGGAGCAAACAGGAUUAGAUACCCUGGUAGUCCUGGCUGUAAACNGUGCNUAUUUGCUGUAAAAGGAAUCGACCCCUUUUGUGGCGUAG
rnacentral:rRNA from 1 species